GAAGCAGGCUCCAUGCACCAGGAGCCCGACGUGGGAUUCGAUCCCGGGUCUCCAGGAUCCCACCCUGGGCCAAAGGCAGGCGCUAAACCGCUGCGCCACCCAGGGAUCCCGGCUUGUCUAAUUUCAAGGAGAGGGAAAGUCUUCAUUUCCUUGUGGGGAGUGGCAUAGGUCAAGGGGAGUAUGUGGAACCAAUAACAUUUAGGAAGUCAUGGGGUGGAUGGGUGGAAACCCAACCCUUUCAUCUUGAGAGAAAGUGGCUUUCAACGAUGCUCAGGCUCUGUGCAGGUUGCAAGUAGGUGGAGGUGGGGAAAUGGUGGAUUCAACUUUAUCAGUUUACGUAAGAGAAAUCUAAAAGAAAUCUAAAAAGUUCAGAAUGGCUGAACUGCCACAUUGGGGUCAGUCUAUAUUCCCACAGGCUGUCAUGGCUUAAAAGGUGUGAGCAUGUAUUACAGAUUAGAUGUGGAUGACACAGGAAAGACUUUUGGUGGGAGAUUGCUUUAUGUCCUGUACUCUAGGAUGUGUAGGGGAUGGCGCUUAGCACACAGAGGCUGGAAAUGGAUAACUAUAUUCCUGGAAAUGGAUAACUAUAUUCCUGGAGAAUGCAGCCGGUAUCAGUGACAAACUGGAAGAGACAGUCUCUUCUGUUCCCAGAAGCUUUUUUUGGAAUGAACACACACACACACACACACACACACACACACACACACACACAGGUUUUUUUUGGCAGAUGAGAAAGGAGCUAGCUAGGCUUGUUGCUUGGCUGAAGGGAUUUUGAACAGUCUAUGUGUGAGGUCAUAGGAGACCAGGAGGGAAGAGAGGUCCUUAGACUGAGCCCAAGCCUCUGGAAUCCACGGAACCUGUGGGAAGGGCUUUGGGUUUCCAAAGGCUAUGGCUAUGCAAAGUAAAGCUCAUAUUAAUUUUGCCUAAAUCCCAAAGGAUAGGGAGGCCCUGGGUGACUCUAGAUUUCAGGAGAAACUGUUCAAUAUCAAUAACAUGGUGGGUUAGGGUACUUUUAAAAAUUCAGGUGGAGACUUUGUUGAAAUACCUACAUCUAUCAUUUACUCAAGUUAAAUUAGCACUUACUGAAUGUCUAUUCAUUCUGGGUAUGUGUGAGGUCUUUUAUGAUGUUUUAUUUGAUAUUAAUAAUAAUCAUAUGAAGAAAUUGCUGCAAAACAUCUUCUUUUUAUAGAUGAGGCAAUGGACUCACCAGGGUCAGAGAGCUGGAAUGUGGCGAAUUCAAAGUGAGGUCCUUAGACUCCCAGGCUGAGCCCAUUUCCUAUGUCACUUUAGUUGUUACCUAUUGCUCUAUUGUCCUGUUUGCCCUUCAUGUUAUAACAGUGUAUAUCAAUAUGCUCAUGAGUAGCUUGCUCCAUUUUAUGGAUAUAGCCAGUAGAUUUCAUGUACUUCCUAGAGAGUUGUGUUGAGAAGGAUUCUGAGGCUCAGUUCUAACUCAGUGCUAAAGUUCUGUGAUUAUGGAGCGAUGUCUGCCACAGCAAAAGAUAAGAAGUGUGACGGUGGCCGUGACCACCAUAAUUACAGAUGUGGGAAGUUGACUUCCUAAGAUCCCAGACACCAGUGGAGAACAGAGUGGCCUGGAGGCCGAGGCAAUUCCUAGCUAGCUAUCUGAGUCUUGGCCUUCAUUCCAGAGAAUCUGGGAGUCCAGGUGCCACUUCAUUAAAGGAAGGAGUGGAAGCCCAGGCUGGAAUAGCCCCCAACCGUUCCCCGGUGAGAUGAAUCAAACCUCCCACUGAGGACAACAGGCUCCAGUACAUAUUCGCUUUUCCAAAUAAAGGCUCUGGAGAACGUCUCCCCAAAGAACACAGAGUGCACAGUGCUGUUUUGUAGGUCAAGGAGAAAGCCCUAAGGUAUAUAUAUAUUUUUAAAAAGGUAGUUACCAAAGGAAGUGGAUAAAUUGAAAUUGCUGCAUAGAAAACACUUGGUCACUGCAGCUUGAAUAUU